GACAAACGCUGGCGGCGUGCCUAACACAUGCAAGUCGAACGGUCCCCUUCGGGGGAUAGUGGCGAACGGGUGAGUAACACGUAGGUGACCUGCCCUGUAGUGGGGAAUAACUGCCCGAAAGGGUGGCUAAUACCGCAUGAGUUCUCCUGCGCGGGCAGGAGAAGAAAGCUCCGCAAGGGGCGCUACAGGAGGGGCCUGCGGCGGAUUAGCUAGUUGGCGGGGUAAAGGCCCACCAAGGCGACGAUCCGUAGCUGGUCUGAGAGGACGGCCAGCCACA
rnacentral:rRNA from 1 species